UUCAAAGAUGAAGCGGCACUGGGCUCCGACGACGUUUAGACAAAAACGUUCGGUCUUGAUGGAUAUGCCUUUUUUGCGGCAGGCCUAGAAAACCUCGCCCACUGAGA
rnacentral:snoRNA from 1 species